AUGUGCUGUAAAGGUGGGCUGCAUCUGGCCUACGGAGGUGUAAGGCGCCCUCGCAGAUGCCGAGGAAGCGAUAAGGAUAGCUCUCAAAUUUCCUCAGGAAUGGAGGAGCACAAGGAGCAGAGGAGCAACUCCUUACAGUACCUUCUUCUUCUUGAUGAACAGGAGCUGUGGCGGCAGCUGGGCAGACGAGCAGCAGCAGUAUGGGCAGAGGAGCUCCACCGGCGGGGGAGAAGCAGCAACAGUAUGGGCAGAGGAGCUCCACCGGCGGGCGCGCGGGCAGGGAAGAAGGAGCAGCACGGGCUCGUGCGGGAGAUUGAGGAGGACGAGAUGGAGAUCGAGGAGGAAGCGCGCGAACUCCUGGUCCACCGGAUCGUGGAGGCAGUUUCCGGCGAAGCCCGUAGGGGAUAG
rnacentral:rRNA from 1 species